rnacentral:rRNA from 1 species
CCUACGGGUGGCUGCAGUGGGGAAUUUUGGACAAUGGGCGAAAGCCUGAUCCAGCCAUGCCGCGUGAGUGAAGAAGGCCUUCGGGUUGUAAAGCUCUUUCGGCCGGAACGAAAUCGCUCGAGCUAACACCUCGAUUGGAUGACGGUACCGGAACAAGAAGCACCGGCUAACUACGUGCCAGCAGCCGCGGUAAUACGUAGGGUGCAGGCUGUAAUCGGAGUUACUGGGCGUAAAGCGUGAGCUGGCGGGUGAAAUCCCCGAGCUUAACUUGGGAACUGCGUUUGAAACUGGGGAGCUAGAGUGCGGCAGAGGGGGGUGGAAUUCCACGUGUAGCAGUGAAAUGCGUAGAUAUGUGGAGGAACACCGAUGGCGAAGGCAGCCCCCUGGGCCUGCACUGACGCUCAUGCACGAAAGCGUGGGUAGCAAACAGGAUUAGAUACCCUUGUAGUC